UAGGACUUCAGAUUAAUCUCACGGAUCUCACUUUCUGAAUUUUUAAGCCUCAUAUGCAAUGCUGAGUAUGGACGUUAUAUCUCAAAUAAUUCAUGAGCCACAAUGCCACGUGUAUUUGAGAGGAUAUAAAGAUAAUCAUGGAGUUUUGAAGACUCAAACUUGCUAACCGGAAGUUGACAUCGACCUGAGAAACUUCUACAUCAUCCUUAAAAAGAGCUUUA
rnacentral:lncRNA from 12 species